rnacentral:rRNA from 1 species
AUUGAACGCUGGCGGCAUGCCUUACACAUGCAAGUCGAACGGUAACAGGGAGCUUGCUCCGCUGACGAGUGGCGAACGGGUGAGUAAUACAUCGGAACGUGCCCAGUAAUGGGGGAUAGCUCGGCGAAAGCCGGAUUAAUACCGCAUACGCCCUGAGGGGGAAAGUGGGGGACCGCAAGGCCUCACGUUAUUGGAGCGGCCGAUGGCUGAUUAGCUAGUUGGUAGGGUAAAGGCCUACCAAGGCGACGAUCAGUAGCUGGUCUGAGAGGACGAUCAGCCACACU